rnacentral:rRNA from 1 species
AUUGAACGCUGGCGGCAGGCCUAACACAUGCAAGUCGAGCGGAUGAAGGGAGCUUGCUCCUGUAUUCAGCGGCGGACGGGUGAGUAAUGCCUAGGAAUCUGCCUUGUAUUUGGGGAUAACGUCCGUAAACGGGCGCUAAUACCGCAUACGUCCUGAUGGUGAAAGUGGGGGAUCUUCGGACCUCACGCUAUCAGAUGAGCCUAGGUCGGAUUAGCUAGUUGGUGGGGUAAAGGCCUACCAAGGCGACGAUCCGUAACUGGUCUGAGAGGAUGAUCAGUCACACUGGAACUGUGACACGGUUCAGACUCCUACGGGAGGCAGCAGUGGGGAAUAUUGGACAAUGGGCGAAAGCCUGAUCCAGCCAUGCCGCGUGUGUGAAGAAGGUCUUCGGAUUGUAAAGCACUUUAAGUUGGGAGGAAGGGCAGUAAGUUAAUACCUCGCUGUUUUGACGGUACCAACAGAAUAAGCACCGGCUAACUUCGUG